CAAAGUAGAGCUUUGUAGUGAAGUGUUCCGUUUACAUUGGAAAGAGUCUUGUGCAAUUCAAGAUGUUUUGA
rnacentral:tRNA from 1 species